GAUGAAGAACGUAGCGAAAUGCGAUAAGUAAUGUGAAUUGCAGAAUUCAGUGAAUCAUCGAAUCUUUGAACGCACAUUGCGCCCCUUGGUAUUCCAUGGGGCAUGCCUGUUCGAGCGUCAUUUGUACCUUCAAGCUCUGCUUGGUGUUGGGUGUUUGUCCUUGCUCUAGUGGCGGGACUCGCCUUAAAGUAAUUGGCAGCCAGUGUUUUGGUUUUGAAGCGCAGCACAAGUCGCGAUUCAAGUCUAUACGCUAGUUUCCACAAGUCUUUUAUCACUUUUGACAUCGGAUCAGGUAGGGAUACCCGCUGAACUUAAGCAUAUCAAUAAGCGGAGGA
rnacentral:misc_RNA from 1 species